rnacentral:lncRNA from 1 species
UGGGAAUCUCAGGUUGAGUUACUCAUCGUUAUGGAGUCAGGAGUGUGCAGAACCGCCGAUGUCGAUGGCAGGAGGUAACGUACACAUGUUUGUCAGUGAAGGUGCCGUAGGAGGACUUGCCGGCGGGCAGGAGGAGGUUUAUGUCGGGGACUGUCAUUCCCCAAGUGUGGAAGGAAGCCUUCUGGUCCCGGGAGCUCAUCACCACCUCCUCCGAUGUUCUCCUUCCCCACGAAAAUAUGAAGAAGCCCUGGAGCCCUGAUUUACCAGUUGAUAACCACUCAUACAAUUCAGAUUUCACAUCUGUCCCAGAAAGGGAAGGUGAGAAAGAAUUAGCACCUGAUGGCACUGAAGAAAAGAAGGAGAGAGAAAAGAAACACACCAAUUUCACUUUGUGUAAUGUUUGUAACAUUCAGCUGAACUCUGCUGCUCAGGCACAAAUCCACUACAAUGGCAAAUCCCAUCAGAAGAGAUUAAAACAGCUCAGCAAUGGAAAUCUCAAAAGUGAUAAUGGAUAUAGCAGUGUGCUUUGAUAAUGGGUUCAAGAGCAUGAGCUAUUUGGGGUCUGGAAGCUCCCAGAGGAUGGCCAGAACAGGCCACAGCUCUUCUUACUG